rnacentral:rRNA from 1 species
UACGUAGGGGGCAAGCGUUGCCCGGAAUCAUUGGGCGUAAAGCGCGUGUAGGCGGCCCGGUAAGUCCGCUGUGAAAGUCGGGGGCUCAACCCUCGAAUGCCGGUGGAUACUGUCGGGCUAGAGUGCGGGAGAGGCGAGUGGAAUUCCUGGUGUAGCGGUGAAAUGCGCAGAUAUCGGGAGGAACACCAAUUGCGAAGGCAGCUCGCUGGAACGGUACUGACGCUGAGGCGCGAAAGCGUGGGGAGCGAACAGG